CCGGUCUUCUCAGUUUUAUUAUUUAUUCAUCCGUCGCGAGUGGCAAGCGUUUGAACACCGCUAAAAAACGUCGCAACCCGAAAAACGUCGCAACCCGCUGAAGUGCUACUGAUUCCAACGAAGGAACGGAUACUAUUUAUUUAAAUCAUCCGGACCACUGGCUGACAAAGGAACCGUUGAGGACAAGGCGGCUCACCCAAAGAGGCCUUCAGCAACCGGAUAGGAGCAAUGGAUAUUCAUAUAACGGCACUGUGGAAGCCGAGAAACAGGUUCAAAAUGCCGGGAAAUCGUUGAACCAAAUAGUUCAUCGACGAAGAAGCAGAUUAUGUGGCCAAAUUAUCAACGUGCAAACGUAAACACAAGUUCAAAAUGAAAUAGAAAUAAACAUAUUUUCCAUGAUGUAAAAACUA